rnacentral:rRNA from 1 species
UACGAAGGGGGCUAGCGUUGCUCGGAAUCACUGGGCGUAAAGGGUGCGUAGGCGGUCAGCACAAGUCAGUUGUGAAAUCUCCGGGCUUAACUCGGAAAGGUCAACUGAUACUGUGCGACUAGAGUGCGGAAGGGGCAACUGGAAUUCUCGGUGUAGAGGUGAAAUUCGUAGAUAAUCGAGAGGAACACCGGGUGGCGAAGGCGGCUUUCUGGACGGUUACUGACGCUGAGACGCGAAAGCGUGGGGAGCAAACAGG